UUAAAAGCACAAUUAUGUAUUAUUUUAAAACGUCUAGUUCAAGAAAUGUAUUGUAUUCAGAAGACCAAAAAUGAACCAGAACAGAUGAAGAACAAACCGUGUUGAACAAUAAUAUGAUGAUCUGGAUUUUUAUCAAAGAUUUAGGUUGAAAACAAACAGUUUUGUGUGUCUUCUUAAAUAGAAAACCAAAUAACUUUGCCUACUAUUAGAGGUGGAUGCAUUACUCCCAUGCAACAAAUUCUGUUGGAUUUUAUGAAUCAGGAAGUAUGCAAUUAAAUGUAGCUGAUUUUACGGUAGUGUCCAGAGGUUCAGCAAGUAGAAUUAUAAAAAUAAUAUCCUUUACAAUUGCAAGAAUCAUCAAGAGAUGGAAAGCUGUUGAAGAUUUUUACAAGAUUGCUACAUUCCCUAGAAUAAUGAGUGGAAUAUGGGUUAUACUUUAAUUAAAAUAGAUUCUGCAGGUGUCCAGGAUGCAGACAUUUUCAGGUCCAGAAAAUCAUUUUUUGCAUUGAAUGUUUAGUCAGUGAUGCAAAAUUUAAAAUUAGAGAUAUUGUUGUACUGUGGCCAUCAAAUAAGACAAUUUUAAUAAUAGUAGACUGAAGCAUAAUUCAGGGGCUUAGAAUCACACAAACGUAGCUACAUUUUGUUUUAUUUUCAUCUACAGAAAUAUUAGUGUUACAGUAAAUGAACGUUAUAUCUAUGUACCUAAGUAUGCAUGUGCAAAUCAGAACUAAAGCAAGUGGACAUAAGUUCAUGUGAAUCUUAAAUAAGAAGUUUAAUGUAGUUAUGUUUGUGUGACCCUAAGCCCUUGAAUUUUGAAAGUGGUAUCUUUGGCCAUUACAUAUUGGUUGGUGACAGUGACGAACAAGGAAAGUAGUAGAACAGCAAUAUGGCUUGUGGAAAUGAAGAUUUCCUAUACUCCGCUUAGGAAUGAGACUACAAUUAGAAAAUCUGACUGUGAUUGUUGCAACUAGAGUGCUUCAUAAUAUUGCCAUUGAUAUGGAUGACAAUUUUCCUGUGAAUAAAACUGAAGAUGAAGCAAACAAUGAAUAAUUACAACCGAUAAAAAAUAAUGAAAAUAUUUCAGAAAACAAUAUAACUGUGUUAAUAAAUGAACACGUUGGUAGAGUGUAAAUAUAUUUAUUAAUAAAAGCAAAAUGAAUA